CAUUAGUGAACUGAUCAGAUCCACCUAAAACCUACUCGGCCGAUCCCAAACUACCUACCCUAGCUAGCUCUAAUUAAUUAGAAGCCCGGAGUUACUUAAACUACCCUAGCAAGCUUAAUUAGCUAGCAGAAAUUAUUAUUCUAAAUAUACGAAAGGAAAACUACAGUACUGUCUGUUUCUGUUCAUUUCGCAAAAGCGACAAAAUGAAUGAAUAGUCCCUUGUCCGGAAAAGAACCGUUCUACCCUCAGUUGAGAUCUAUCUUCUUCUACAGUCGGCCGUUCUCUGAUCUGUAUUCCAUCUCCAGCAUCAUCAUUCAAUCUUCAGAGGUCUAAUUGGGUGACUGAGUUGGCAGGUGAAGGACUUGGGUCCAGCAAAGACUGUCCAGAUUUGCCGUUUAUCAAUAUCCCAAGUUUCAGAUUGGAUUGUGGCUUUUGCAGAAGGGCUUUUUCGAUCGGUCACCUUCCACGAGAUUGAGGUAUUCGACAAGAAGCAGCUACUUCAUAAGAAGACAUUACUUUGUUGCAUGUUUAAAACAGAACAUUAGCUAAAGUGUCGGGCUCCAAAGUUUGAAGUGGAGGGUUCAAAAGUUUUUGAGAAGCUUCAAAAACACAAGAAGUAGGAGAAGCUUGAAGAUGCUUAAAGAUUAAAUUAUUCAUGCAGCUCCAAAUAGCCCAAGCAGUGUAGAGAAUUGAAGCCAGCGCCUCAGCAGAAGAAGAAUUCUUACUCAUAUGCUCAAUCCAAGACAACAAUGAGCUAUUCCAAGAUAAAGGAUUAGGCAGAUUAGGAGAUGGAGCUAAAGACCAAACUUGAACGGCAAAAGGACAAUGCAUAAAAAGAUGAUCAAUGGAUUCUACUGUGUUUAGAUAAAAUGGACACUGUAUGAACAGUGAAAUGACUGGUUUACCCACUUGCUCUUAUUUUAUGUUUUUUUUACACCUUUGUCAUUGACCUAGCUAUACACCUAUACCCAAAUACCCAAAUUGUUGAUCCCAAUCGUGCCACUACCGAUUCUUGCGUGUCUUCUACAGCCGUAUAAAUGAGUUUGAGAUAGUGGGUUGAUUUUUGGUUCCUUGCCUUUGAUCUGUGAAUUUGGAUUUGCUUUCUUUCUUUCUGCUCAUUAUCCCCUCUAAUUUCAGUUUUCGUUGGGUCUUUUUGAUUGCUUGCUCUUGGUCCAAAGAACUAUCUGAUCAGUGGAUUAUAGUUUAAAACAGAUUGAGUGAAAGCGUCCCUCAGUUGGUAAUUUUUGUAGAUCAAUUUUGGUUUGCAGUUUUGGAUCGAACUGGGUGUAAAGCAAUUUUGGGUGCGGUUUUGAUUUUUUUGGGUUUGUUUAUUUAUUUUUAUUCAUUGAUGUUAUCAUUUAGGAGAUUGUAAAAACCAUUUAGGAGACCAUCAGUGAAUAAAGUCAUAGCAAAGAACGUUUGAUAAAACUGGCAUUGAUGUUUCUGAAUAGAUGGGUGCUGAAGUUUAAUGUUCCUUAAUUUGUCCUGUUUUUGUGACUAUGUAAGAAAGUAUUUACAUUUGAACAGGCUCAAUUUUCAAAUUUUGAGAGAUGUUUAUCUAUUUUAUUUUGUUUAGAUGUCAUAUUUUAUCUACUCAUUGAUUAUUGUUGUCGUCACUGUUUCUUUUUUUAUAUUUUUUUAUCUCUCUUUAUGCAUUGAAAAUUUGAUUCAUUGUUUUCUGUGUAGUUGGAGCUUGAAGGCUGCAUAUACUCAAGAAGUCCUAACUUUUUGACUCAAAUAAUGUUUAAACUUUUUGACACUGCAAUCUUCUUACUAUCACACCACCAUCGUGUCUAACUUCAUAAGUUCUGAUUUAAGAAACAAUGAAAUUUGUACUCAUCAACAAGAUAACAACUCCAGCUCCAGCAUUUUGUGCAGCUACAAUGACUGGUAACUAAAAGUUUGGAUCAACUCCAACAUUUUGUACAACUACAAUUGGAGCAGCCACUUUUUCCACCUACUUUUGCUACGCUGACUUAGAACUAAACCUUUUGUAAAGCUACAACUGAAGCAGCCAACCCUGUUGAACAACUAGCAUUUCUGAACCAACUCUAGUGGCAACUUUGUUAUGUUAACCUGUUUUUUUAAUACACUUUUGUUAGAUUAACCUUUUUGUAUAAAAAAUCUUUCACUGUUUCAAUAGAAUGCAAUAAUUUUCCUUUUGUA